rnacentral:rRNA from 1 species
UCCAGACUCCUACGGGAGGCAGCAGUGGGGGAUAUUGCACAAUGGGGGGAACCCUGAUGCAGCGACGCCGCGUGGGUGAAGAAGCGCCUCGGCGCGUAAAGCCCUAUCGGCAGGGAAGAAACAGACGGUACCUGACUAAGAAGCCCCGGCUAACUACGUGCCAGCAGCCGCGGUAAUACGUAGGGGGCAAGCGUUAUCCGGAUUUACUGGGUGUAAAGGGGGCGCAGACGGCAGCGCAAGCCAGGAGUGAAAGCCCGGGGCCCAACCCCGGGACUGCUCUUGGAACUGCGCGGCUGGAGUGCAGGAGGGGCAGGCGGAAUUCCUGGUGUAGCGGUGAAAUGCGUAGAUAUCAGGAGGAACACCGGUGGCGAAGGCGGCCUGCUGGACUGCGACUGACGUUGAGGCCCGAAAGCGUGGGGAGCAAACAGGAUUAGAUACCCUAGUA